UGCACGUCUAUGAGCCCUGUUCCACUCUGCCUUCACCCCUUCCGCCCCAAGUCUCCUGUCUCUGACAGCAGCAGCAGCCAGCCUGUACAGACCAGAGCCAGUCCGUUCUCUGCUAUUCAGCCCCUUGGAAGCUCCAGCCCAGAGCCACAAGAGAAGCUUCUAAGGCGUCACGCAGGGGGUGAAGUUUCUUCUCUUCCCUCCCAGCUGCAAAGAGCAAUUAAUCCUGCUGGAGGCUGAGACCCAGAUCCCCUGAACCUCCGUUAUGGCUUCAGGUUGGAUCGCAGCUGCGUUAACAGCCUCGGUGCUAAGUGCCCUGGGCAGAGCGGAGAUCCAUCAGCCCCUCUCCGCAGAGGCGGUGGAGGGAGAGAAAUUGACCCUCUCUUGCAAUCACCCUAAUGUGACCACCGAGAAGAUAAUGUGGUACCGCCACGUCCCCAGUCAGGCGCCGCGGCUUUUGGCAGGUGGAUUCAGGGGCGAAACUCCCGGCCCCGAAGCGGGCGGCACUUUAUACAUCGCUCAGGACAAAGCUUCCAGUGUCUUUGAGUUCCGCAGGGUGCGGCUGGCUGACGCAGCGGUGUAUUACUGUGCUCUGAGCGACACAGCGUGACAGCCAGAGGCGGCCCCCGCGCAGUAUCCCACCCCAGCCCCGAACAGAGGACAGCAGCGUCUCUUGGCUGGGCGAGCUAAGGAGAGAGAGUUUCUUCCGUAUGGUGAAGCAUGAAAAAAGAUCCGCUCCUUUCAGGGUCUAAGCAGAGGGGAGGGGAUUACAACUUCUUUCUUGUCCGGUGAACAAAGAGAAACACCAGCUGUCUGCAAUUUCUGUCUUUCAGACACAGCCAACUUUCUGUCUGAAGUGAUUGGUUUUUUUUUUAAAUAAAACCUUCCCAUCACCAUAUUAUCGGAGCUUCUGAAUGAUUCAGGCAAACCGUGUAAACCCUUUAAACUCCCAUAUUAGUUAACUCCGAAUUCCGUACAAACACACAAAGUUCUGAGGUAACAUCAGACAGAACCGCUGGGAAAUCUAUAAGAAGGAGAGUCUCCUCUCUGAGUCGUGUAUGACAUUUCCCCUUUCAGUUCAUUCCUUUGCCCACAAGGGGACGCUGCUGUAUCACCUGACAGGCAGUGUUGGGUCCAGGAUAUUAUGGAGUCCUGGUGGGGGUGAGGUGAUAUCUUCUACUAGAACAACUUUUGCAGGUGAGAGAGACCAUAUCUGGAGCUCACCUGAAGGAGAGCUCCGUGUAAGCUCGAAAGCUUGUGUCUCUCACCAGCAGAAGUUGGUCCAGUAGAAGAUAUCACCUCACUGCAUCUUGUCUCGCCAGUAUCAAUUGAUAAUUGUCUAUCAGGCUACAAUUCUGCCUCACACUGCUAGGAAGCAGCACUAUUCCUCAUCUUUCUACACAAACUGGCGUUACCUUAUCUACCGAAAUACUCUCAGUAUACUCUGUUAAAGCUUACCCCAAGUUCCACUGAGCCUGUUGUACCUUGGUGGGUGAGGGAGAAUCUUUUACUGGACUAACUUCAGUUGGUGAGAGAGACAAUCUUUCCAGUAUGAUGGAUUGACCAGCAGAAAUCAUUGCAGCAGAUGCAUUCUAUUUAGACUCAUUUUGGGAAGGUUUCACUGUUAUUACUAACAAUAACGUGUUAUUUGAAUUACCAGAGCACCUGGGAGCCCGAGUCAUGGACCAUAGCCCCACGGUGCUAGGCUUUCUCCAGACAGAACAAACAUACGGUCUCUGCCCCCAGAGAGUUUACAGUCGAAGAGACAAGUGGAUACAGAUAGACAGAGCA